rnacentral:SRP_RNA from 1 species
GUACUGCGUGAGGCUGGUUUCACAGAGCAGCGAAUA